rnacentral:rRNA from 1 species
CCUACGGGUGGCUGCAGUGAGGAAUAUUGGUCAAUGGGCGCGAGCCUGAACCAGCCAAGUCGCGUGAGGGAAGACGGUCCUAUGGAUUGUAAACCUCUUUUGUCGGGGAGCAAAAGACGCCACGCGUGGCGUUCCGAGAGUACACGAAGAAAAAGCAUCGGCUAACUCCGUGCCAGCAGCCGCGGUAAUCCGGAGGAUGCGAGCGUUAUCCGGAUUUAUUGGGUUUACGGGGUGCGCAGGCGGAAGCUCAAGUCAGCGGUAAAAUUGAGAGGCUCAACCUCUUCGAGCCGUUGAAACUGGUUGUCUUGAGUGAGCGAGAAGUAUGCGGAAUGCGUGGUGUAGCGGUGAAAUGCAUAGAUAUCACGAAGAACUCCGAUUGCGAAGGCAGCAUACCGGCGCUCAACUGACGCUCAUGCACGAAAGUGUGGGUAUCGAACAGGAUUAGAUACCCCUGUAGUC